rnacentral:lncRNA from 1 species
CGUCAUAUAAGGAUGCUUAAUUUAAAAUAAUUGACUUGUGGUGAUUGUGAGCAUGUGAAGCCUUUGGCUAUAUUUAGUUUUUGUACAUUUUGCUAUUAUUUUUACUACCAGUACUUUGAACAGAGGAUAUUAAUAAAUAGUCAUAUAAUUCUGUUGUGCUUCGUACUGCAUUCCUAGAGCCGUGUCUCAGCAGAUAUGUGUGCCCAGACAAUGUCCCUUGCACGACUGACAUGCCCCCAUGCUUGUGCUUGUGACUUGUCACGGCACAUCAAUGCCCUUUCUCACCUGUUUCUGAUCAUUCAUACUCAUUUUAUCCCUCCAAAAACUCCCUAAACAUGAAUAAAUAUCACACUUAACUUUCUAAACCGAAUCAAGGCAAAAGUACCAAACAAAUAUUUGAUUAAAUAACUUUAAACACAGGUAGUUCAUGCAUGUAAAUUUCUUAGCAUUUUAAUCAUUUUAAACAAUGUGUAAAACUCAUUAACAUCAUAGAAACAUUGCUCCCAUCCUUACCGAAGAUCGAUUGUGGUUUAGAUUGCAAAAAGCAAUGGAAAGGAUCUUAAGUUUGACGAAGAAUACGGUUAUAGUAACAGGUGGGAAAUGCAGAAUUGGUCUACAUUUGAUUUUGAAAAGAGGAAACUGUAAGGUGCAUUGGUAUCCAAAGAAAAGAGUAACAAGGCAAGGUCAAGACUUACCAUUCGGUGAUGGAAGAGCGAUCUAGGUGACAAGCUUGCUAUGGUGGAGGAGAUGGCUGCAGCUCAAGGCUUUUCUCACACUCUUAGGUUCUUUCUCCCUCUCUCUCUAGAAUUCUUCUUCUCUUUGUGUGAUGGAGGAAAAAUAGAAGAAUGCAGAGAAUAGGAGCUUUAAAUAGGUGUCAUCGAGGCAAUGUGAUAUGUCGAAUCACAUGCAAGAGGAAGCAAUUAUUAAUCGACUAAGUGGCUGACUGAGCAUGGCUAGUGAACGUCAAGUGGCAAUG